GCCGAGGUCGCCUAACCUGGUAUGGCGCAAGCCUGCUAAGCUUGUAUCCGAAAGGAUGUGCGGGUUCAAAUCCCGCCCUCGGCG
rnacentral:tRNA from 1 species